ensembl:lncRNA
GUUGAAAAGCUAUUUAUUUUGCAACCUCUAAAAGAUGUCUGGCACCCUAUGGAACAGAUGAAAAGCAUGUCUCAUCACUGCAAGCUUCCUGAAGGUUAACAAUGGUCAAUAUCCAGCAACCUGCUCAAACACCAAGAAGCAGCAUGAUAUAAUGGAAAGAAUGUUGAAGCUGAAACUAGAAGAAAAGCAGGGUCCAAAUUUUACCUUUGAUCCUUGAAACCUAUGUGAGCAAAAAUGAGUCACUUAAACUCCCCAGAGUCUCAGGUUUCUUAUUUUUUCAAAUGGAUUUGAUAAUAAUACCUUGAGUGAUUACUUUAUUGGGCUAUUAUGAGGAUCAAAUGUGAUGCCUUAUAAACCUGACGUUCUAUACAAAUGUUAGCUAUUAUUAGAGUAUGUGCUUGAUAAAUAUUGUUUUAGUUGAAAUGAAUGUUUAGCUGCCUAAUCUAGUGCUGAAAUAUUGGUCUGAAAUGUUUAUAUUCAGUGGUAUUUGGGUUGUCUCAUGAGAACGUGAUCUUUUGAAUUGCAGAUUUCAUGGUAUUUAGCAUAUCCUAUUUUAUGUUACAGUUAUUAUUAUACUUGUUUUAUUCCUCUUAGUAGACUAUAAGCAUUUGAAGGUCAGGAACUAUUUCUGAUUCAUUUCUGUAUGCCUAAAGAAGGUCUAGGACAGGACCUGGCCC